rnacentral:piRNA from 1 species
UGACCAGUUGCGGCUUUCCGAAAUGGGCUGU